UACGUAGGUGACAAGCGUUGUCCGGAUUUACUGGGCGUAAAGAGCGCGCAGGCGGUCGUUCAAGUCGAGGGUGAAAGCCCCCGGCUCAACUGGGGAGGGUCACUCGAUACUGAUCGACUCGAAGGCAGGAGAGGGAAGUGGAAUUCCCGGUGUAGUGGUGAAAUGCGUAGAUAUCGGGAGGAACACCAGUGGCGAAGGCGACUUCCUGGCCUGUUCUUGACGCUGAGGCGCGAAAGCUAGGGGGGCAAACGGG
rnacentral:rRNA from 1 species